rnacentral:rRNA from 1 species
AUUGAACGCUGGCGGCAGGCCUAACACAUGCAAGUCGAGCGGAUGAAGGGAGCUUGCUCCUGGAUUCAGCUGCGGACGGGUGAGUAAUGCCUAGGAAUCUGCCUGGUAGUGGGGGAUAACGUCCGGAAACGGGCGCUAAUACCGCAUACGUCCUUAGGGAGAAAGUGGGGGAUCUUCGGAGCUCGCGCUAUCAGAUGAGCCUAGGUCGGAUUAGCUAGUUGGUUGGGUAAAGGCCUACCAAGGCGACGAUCCGUAACUGGUCUGAGAGGAUGAUCAGUCACACUGGAACUGAGACACGGUCCAGACUCCUACGGGAGGCAGCAGUGGGGAAUAUUGGGCAAUGGGCGAAAGCCUGACGCAGCCACGCCGCGUGUGUGAAGAAGGUCUUCGGAUUGUAAAGCUCUUUAAGUUGGGAGGAAGGGAAGUAAGUUAAUCCCUUGCUGUUUUGACGUUACCAACAGAAAAAGCCACGGCUAACUUCGUG